rnacentral:rRNA from 2 species
CACAUGCAAGUCGAGCGGAGUUUUAUGGGAGCUUGCUUUUAUAAAACUUAGCGGCGGACGGGUGAGUAACGCGUGGGUAACCUGCCCUAUACACAGGGAUAACAUUGAGAAAUUGAUGCUAAUACCUGAUAAGCCAACAGUAGGCAUCUACAAGUUGGAAAAACUGAGGUGGUAUAGGAGGGGCCCGCGUCUGAUUAGCUAGUUGGUGGGGUAAAGGCCUACCAAGGCGACGAUCAGUAGCCGACCUGAGAGGGUGAUCGGCCACAUUGGAACUGAGACACGGUCCAAACUCCUACGGGAGGCAGCAGUGGGGAAUAUUGCACAAUGGGGGGAACCCUGAUGCAGCAACGCCGCGUGAAGGAAGAAGUAUUUCGGUAUGUAAACUUCUAUCGACAGGGAAGAAAUAAAUGACGGUACCUGAAUAAGAAGCACCGGCUAAAUACGUGCCAGCAGCCGCGGUAAUACGUAUGGUGCAAGCGUUAUCCGGAUUUACUGGGUGUAAAGGGUGAGUAGGCGGUUAUGCAAGUCAUAUGUGAAAUUCUGGGGCUCAACCUCAGGGCUGCAUAAGAAACUGUGUAACUAGAGUACAGGAGAGGUAAGCGGAAUUCCUAGUGUAGCGGUGAAAUGCGUAGAUAUUAGGAAGAACACCGGUGGCGAAGGCGGCUUACUGGACUGAAACUGACGCUGAGUCACGAAAGCGUGGGGAGCGAACAGGAUUAGAUACCCUGGUAGUCCACGCCGUAAACGAUGAGUGCUAGGUGUUGGGAAGAGAUUCUCGGUGCCGCAGCAAACGCAAUAAGCACUCCACCUGGGGAGUACGACCGCAAGGUUGAAACUCAAAGGAAUUGACGGGGACCGCACAAGCGGUGGAGCAUGUGGUUUAAUUCGAAGCAACGCGAAGAACCUUACCUAAACUUGACAUCCCGAUGACAAUCUGUGUAAUGCAGACUUUCUUCGGAACAUCGGUGACAGGUGGUGCAUGGUUGUCGUCAGCUCGUGUCGUGAGAUGUUGGGUUAAGUCCCGCAACGAGCGCAACCCCUAUUCUUAGUAGCCAGCAWUUCGGAUGGGCACUCUAGGGAGACUGCCGUGGAUAACACGGAGGAAGGUGGGGAUGACGUCAAAUCAUCAUGCCCCUUAUGUUUAGGGCUACACACGUGCUACAAUGGCUGUAACAAAGUGAAGCAAGAUAGUGAUAUGGAGCAAAGCACAAAAAAGCAGUCCCAGUUCGGAUUGUAGUCUGCAACUCGACUACAUGAAGUUGGAAUCGCUAGUAAUCGCGAAUCAGAAUGUCGCGGUGAAUACGUUCCCGGGUCUUGUACACACCGCCCGUCACACCAUGGGAGUUGGAAGCGCCCGAAGCCUGUGACCUAACCGCAAGGAGGAGCAGUCGAAGGUGAAGCCAGUGACUGGGGUGAAGUCGUAACAAGGUAGCCGUAUCGGAAGGUGCGCUGA